UAAGGUGGAGAUCAGGGAAGAGCAUAGAGGAGGGGAUGUCUGCCCUGAGUCUUUGAUGGUGAGCAGGAGUUGUCCGGAUAAAAGGGCACGCAGAAGACACUGCAGGGAGAGAAAAUGGCAGUGGUGGGGGAAAGGUAUUGGGACAAGACCGUCUAGGGAGAGUCAAGAGCUUCUCACUUCAGUGUCUUGGAGUUUACAGUGUUAGAAGGAGGGGGCAGGAAAGAGCUGCGCAAGAGAAGUAGGGCAUCCGGAGUGGUGGGCAGAUUAAGGACCUUGGGAUAUCUCUGACAAUGGUGACAGAAAGCCAUCGUGCGAAUGUAACCAUCGCAGCAGAGGACCGACUGGAGAGCCAUCUGAAGAAGGCAGACUUAGCUCUCACCCCGGGUCAGAUGAUCUCCUGAGACAGGCGACAUGGCUUCUCCUCGGUACAGAUCCUCUCUCUCCUUUGAUGGUUCCUCUUCCCACCUUUCUUGCAACACUAUCUGGCAGUAUUGUGAAUUUAUUGAUUUUUCAAUCCUGGGACCCAAGGCAGGAAACGUCCCCGGCUUACAUAUUUGGUACAACAUACACAAUGUCUUUGGAUUCAGUGAUUCUGUUCUUGGAGACGGAACUGAAGGCUGAAAACUCUAUGGGGCGUAGGAUGGGUUUUACCGGCCAGUCUAUGAAACCCGUACCAUGGCAGAGUCACCGAGGCUUCAUAGCAUGAACUCGGAGCAAAAUCUAGCGGCCAGAAUUUCGGAACACCACUAAAAGAUUAGGUUAGUGCCUAUGUUUCAUCAGAAUUUUCUCUAGAUUCCAAUCAUAAUCUUGUCAACACAACAAGAAAGGCCUUCAACAAUGAUGGGCUCUGACCUUUAAGAUCCUUGAUCCCUAGAGGUACAGAGCCCUGCCUUUGGUUACCAGGAGGCCAUGGGUAGCUACACCCACCCAGAUCAUUCGGUCCUCUUCAUGGCGGGCGGCCCCGUCCGGUCAGAAGCGACCAGAGCCAGCAUCACCCGAGAGUCAUUUGGGAUGCUGUGGUUCUAGAGACUGCCUCCAUCUUGAGCCAAGGAAGGAGCUGUUCCGGGGAGGACAUUGGAACCUUGGUGAGAGUUGGCCUUUCUGUGCCUCCAUCUGAAAGCUAAGCUCUUCUAUGGGAGUUUGGAUUGAAGGUUAGGGAUGAUGGCUCAGAGGGGGAAAGUGUGAAAUGGUAAUCGCUUUCAUAUGUCACUUGAGAAAUGUUAUAAUAAAGCUGAGUAAAUUGGAGCAUGAGUUAGCCCGGUCUU